AUACUUACCCUUUAGGGGAGAUAUCAUGUUCAUGAAGAUGUUUUCUCAAGGCCGGUUUAUCCAUUCACACCUGAUGUGACAAUCCCUGAGAUAAACCAAAAUGUGGAAAAAUAGAUGUAUAAUUUAUGAUAUUAAGAAAACUGGGUUCACCUUCUUCCUUA
rnacentral:snRNA from 1 species